rnacentral:rRNA from 1 species
AGAGGAAUAGCUUGCUAUUUCUGCUGACGAGCGGCGGACGGGUGAGUAAUGCUUGGGAAUCUGCCUAGUCGAGGGGGACAACAGUUGGAAACGACUGCUAAUACCGCAUACGACCUACGGGUGAAAGGGGGCCUCUUCUUGAAAGCUCUCGCGAUUAGAUGAGCCCAAGUGGGAUUAGCUUGUUGGUGAGGUAAAGGCUCACCAAGGCGACGAUCCCUAGCUGGUCUGAGAGGAUGACCAGCCACACUGGAACUGAGACACGGUCCAGACUCCUACGGGAGGCAGCAGUGGGGAAUAUUGCACAAUGGGGGAAACCCUGAUGCAGCCAUACCGCGUGUAUGAAGAAGGCCUUAGGGUUGUAAAGUACUUUCAGCGAGGAGGAAAGGGCAUAAGUUAAUACCUUAUGUCUGUGACGUUACUCGCAGAAGAAGCACCGGCUAACUCCGUGCCAGCAGCCGCGGUAAUACGGAGGGUGCAAGCGUUAAUCGGAAUUACUGGGCGUAAAGCGCAUGCAGGCGGUUUGUUAAGCGAGAUGUGAAAGCCCCGGGCUCAACCUGGGAACUGCAUUUCGAACUGGCAAACUAGAGUUCUUGAGAGGGUGGUAGAAUUUCAGGUGUAGCGGUGAAAUGCGUAGAGAUCUGAAGGAAUACCGGUGGCGAAGGCGGCCACCUGGCAAGUAACUGACGCUCAGAUGCGAAAGCGUGGGUAGCAAACGGGAUUAGAUACCCCGGUAGUCCACGCCGUAAACGAUGUCUACUCGGAGUUUGGUGUCUUGAGCACUGGGCUCUUAAGCUAACGCAUUAAGUAGACCGCCUGGGGAGUACGGCCGCAAGGUUAAAACUCAAAUGAAUUGACGGGGGCCCGCACAAGCGGUGGAGCAUGUGGUUUAAUUCGAUGCA